rnacentral:rRNA from 1 species
CAGCCGCCGCGGUAACACGUAGGGUGCGAGCGUUAAUCGGAGUUACUGGGCGUAAAGCGUGCGUAGGCGGUUCGUUAAGUCUGUUGUGAAAGCCCCGGGCUCAACCUGGGAAUGGCAAUGGAUACUGGCGAGCUAGAGUGUGUCAGAGGAUGGUGGAAUUCCCGGUGUAGCGGUGAAAUGCGUAGAGAUCGGGAGGAACAUCAGUGGCGAAGGCGGCCAUCUGGGACAACACUGACGCUGAGGCACGAAAGCGUGGGGAGCAAACAGGAUUAGAUACCCCCGUAGUCCCUGUCUCUUAUAC